rnacentral:rRNA from 1 species
UACGUAGGGUGCGAGCGUUAAUCGGAAUUACUGGGCGUAAAGCGUGCGCAGGCGGUUUUGCAAGCCAGAUGUGAAAUCCCCGGGCUUAACCUGGGAACUGCAUUUGUGACUGCAUGGCUGGAGUGCGGCAGAGGGGGAUGGAAUUCCGCGUGUAGCAGUGAAAUGCGUAGAUAUGCGGAGGAACACCGAUGGCGAAGGCGAUCCCCUGGGCCUGCACUGACGCUCAUGCACGAAAGCGUGGGGAGCAAACAGG